GAGCCUCACCUGGGCCCAGGAGCGGUUCAGCAGGUGGUGCCUGUCCCUGACCCCAUUUUCAGUGCCCAAAACUCCAUUUUUGCUCCAUUUUUUCACCUUUUAACCCCAUUUUUUCCCCUUUUAACCCCGUUUUUUCCCCUUUUCACCCCAUUUUUCCACGUUCCACCUGCCCAGGUGAGCCUCACCUGUGCCCAGGAGCGGUUGAGCAGGUGCAGGGUGGCGUCGUCGGUGGCCUGGCGCUUCUCGAGCUUCUCGAUGCGCUCGCGGAGCUCGUCCUCGCAGAGCUGGCGCUGCUCCAGCCGCUCGGCCAGCUUCUUGUUCCGGAACUGCAGAACCUUCAGGUCCAUCUCCUCCUGCACAGGUGAGACAGGUGAGACAGGUGAGACAGGUGAGACAGGUGAGAUACAGGUGAGACAGGUGAGACAGACACAGACAGGUGUGACAGGUGAGACACAGACAGGUGACACAGGUGUGACACAGCUUCUUGUUCCGGAACUGGAGCACCUUCAGGUCCAUCUCCUCCUGCACAGGUGAGAUACAGACAGGUGAGACAGGUGUGACA
rnacentral:lncRNA from 1 species